CCAAAGGCUCUUUUAAGAGCCACCCAAGUCGCAGUAAAAUGGCAU
rfam:Myotis lucifugus cont2.52535, whole genome shotgun sequence.